AGAAGAGACUGGACAGCCCCUUGUUUGAAAUGGUAUGGGGGGGGUCUCCUGUUUGAGCAGGGGGUUGGGUUAGAAGAUCUUCAAAGUCCCUUCCAGCUAUAUUCUGUAUUAUAUAGCCUUGUGUGGGCCAGUCCUGCUAUUCAUAAGCACUUAUCCCUAUAAUUUGAACAGCUCAUUCCCCUAUUAAUUAAUUGCAGGACUAGAAAACUGGCCAGUAACAUUUAAUAGAAAAACAGAAUAACAGAGUUGGAAGGGGUCUUGGAGGUCUUCUAAUCCAACCUCC